GUUUUAAUAGUUUAAAUAAAACAUUGGUCUUGUAAACCAAAAUUAAGAAACACUUUUAAAACU
rnacentral:tRNA from 1 species